GGGAAAAAGCAGUUAAGCAGCUUGAGCUGGCUGAAGGGAAUUCCUUCUCUGGCUGUUGAACCAGAAGGUGGAAGAUAAACUCCCUCUCUAUCAUCCGCCUUAUCCAUAAGACUGUGUGCUGAAAAGACUUUUGGGUUUUUAGCCCAGAAGAAACCUGUCACCAUUGCUGUCACAUCUCCUCUUAGGGAAAAAUAACUUUGUUUCCUGAAUUUGAAUAUAUCUUGAAAUCUUCAAUCAACAAGGAUAACUUAGAAAAUUUAGGGAGACCUAUUUUUCUCUCACCCCUGCCCUCUCCUUACCUCCUCUACCCAAAGAAUAAAAGAUCUCUUAGUUUAAAGGAUUUAAUUGUGGGAUUUAGUUAUUAGGGGAAAUCUUCAAGCUUGCCCUCUCUGAGAAGAAUAUUUCUAAGAUAGUUGAAAGGGAACAGGUAGUGUAGGGGGAGAGGCUCAAGAUCCAGUCUUCCCCUAGUUUGCUUCCUGGUGUUACUGCUCUAACAUUUUCCCAUUACCAUAAUUCCCCUAGUAUCAACAUAUACUACAGUGGCUAGGUAAGCUUAAUGAGUGGGGCUGGUUUCAUUCUUUACACUUUUAUCUCCAGGGUCUAAAGCUGUGCCUGUCCUGAUUGAUCCAAGAGAUGUUGCAGAGAUAGAAUGGACGAAACUGAUUAAAUAUAACAAGAACAGAGAAAAAGAAAGAAAACAACAGUGGGCAGGAAAAAAAUUUUGGAGACACCCAAGGUAUGAGGAUUGCCUGUCUCCUCCUUUUCCUCUACACACUGAACUUACGCUCCUGCCUGGCUGCUCAAGAAAAGGAGUGCCUGGCUGGUUGUGGGACAAGGAAGCAAAGAAUUGUAGACAGAAAGUCAUCCCUGGUCUCCUGCCUCUUCAUGGGCUCGUUGUGAUUUCUGCCGUACCUUUUCAGCCUUUAGGCCUGUCUUUAUGACACAUUAUCAGUGUCCGGAUGCAGCAAAAGUGGAGGCUGAGUCUGGCAAGCAAAUACCCUUCCUGUUGGGGCCUUCAGAACCCUUUACAAACAUAAGCAGGAGAGCAAGUGG